ACCCCCUGGCAAUGGGCAAAGAGACACCACAUUGGUGGUAUUGUUCUUAAAUCAGUUGGGGGCAGAGCAGAUGGUAGUCCUUUGUUCAUCCUGGCUUGAUGCCCGACUCAGUGGUCAAAGCUGCUUCAUGCCUAGGGCUCAAUC